GACGAACGCUGGCGGCGUGCUUAACACAUGCAAGUCGAACGGAAAGGCCCUGCUUUUGUGGGGUGCUCGAGUGGCGAACGGGUGAGUAACACGUGAGUAACCUGCCCUUGACUUUGGGAUAACUUCAGGAAACUGGGGCUAAUACCGGAUAGGAGCUCCUGCUGCAUGGUGGGGGUUGGAAAGUUUCGGCGGUUGGGGAUGGAUUCGCGGCUUAUCAGCUUGUUGGUGGGGUAGUGGCGUACCAAGGCUUUGACGGGUAGCCCGCCUGAGAGGGUGACCGGCCACAUUGCGACUGAGAUACGGCCCAGACUCGUACGGGACGCAGCAGUGGGGAAUAUUGCACAACGGGCGGAAGCCUGAGGCAGCAACGCUGCGUGCGGGAUGAUGUCCUUCGGGUUGUAAACAGCUUUCUCCGGUGAUGAAGCGUGAGUGACGGUAAUGGGUAAAGAAGCACCGGCUAACUACGUG
rnacentral:rRNA from 1 species